UACGAAGGGGGCUAGCGUUGUUCGGAAUUACUGGGCGUAAAGCGCACGUAGGCGGAUACUUAAGUCAGGGGUGAAAUCCCGGGGCUCAACCCCGGAACUGCCUUUGAUACUAGGUAUCUCGAGUCCGGAAGAGGUGAGUGGAAUUCCGAGUGUAGAGGUGAAAUUCGUAGAUAUUCGGAAGAACACCAGUGGCGAAGGCGACUUACUGGACACAUAUUGACGCUGAGGUGCGAAAGCGUGGGGAGCAAACAGG
rnacentral:rRNA from 1 species